GUGAUGAUGGCCUUGUUGAUGAGCUAUCAAGAACCGCUUCCACACAUGCAUACGGUGGCGCCCUGCUUUCAUCGGUCGCUGGCCGCGGACAGAGCUCAAGCUUGAACAGCUCCGGUGUUUAAAAAACGGUGUCUCAACGGGCAGCAAGGCGAUCUCCCUGCUUUUUACCCCGAAUCAUCCAUUUGUCUUACAGAUUUCUAUCGCAGAGAUGCCCAACUUUAUCAAGCUUUCUCUAAAACCUAGGGCUUCAUGUGAGCCAGUCACAAAGCGUUCACCCGGGUGGAGAUUUUCACAUUUACUUAAAACAUGCUUCGUCACUUCUGUAUGUCUCUCAUAACAAGUGCAUUCCUCACCUACUUUACUGGAUUGCACUUUUGACCACACAUUCUAA